rnacentral:rRNA from 1 species
UCGCCUGUUUUAACAAAAACAUGUCUUUUUGAAAAUAAUUUAAAGUCUAACCUGCCCACUGAGUUAUUAAAUGGCCGCGGUAUUUUGACCGUGCAAAGGUAGCAUAAUCAUUAGUUUUUUAAUUGAAAGCUGGUAUGAAGGGUUGGAUGAGAAAAUAACUGUCUCUAUUUAAUUUAUAUUAGAAUUUUAUUUUUAAGUUAAAAAGCUUAAAUUUUAUUAAAAGACGAGAAGACCCUAUAGAGUUUUAUAUAAUUAUUUUAUUAAAAAUUUUUAGUAUUUUAAUUUUUAGUUUUUAUAUUAUAUUUAAUUGGGGUGAUUGAAAAAUUGAUAAAACUUUUUUUAUAUAAAAUCAUUUAUUUAUGAAUAUAUGAUCCAUUAGUUGUGAUUAUAAGACAAAAUUACCUUAGGGAUAACAGCGUAAUUUUUUUAGAGAGUUCAAAUCGAAAAAAAAGAUUGCGACCUCGAUGUUGGAUUAAAAUUUAUUUUUGGUGUAGAAGCUAAAAUAUUAGGUCUGUUCCGACCCUUUUUUU